CAUGGAAGCAUAAAUGGGAAUUGUUGCAGGAUCCUGAUAAAUAGAUUUUUAUUUGACUAGAUAUUGCUAGCCUAGCUGUCACAUCAUUUACUGAACACCCAGGAGACAUCUUCAUUUUGUUUACCUAAGAAAUUAAUAUUAUAGGUAGAACGGAUUCUUUCAUAGUCAUUGCAUGUAACAAACAAUAAUCCUUAACGCAAAUAGAAGUACUGCACGUUCUGAUUUUGCAGUUUGUGCUUUAGACAUGUAAAU